UGUGGAGACCCAGCUCUACCUUGUGCUCCAGGCUGGAGUCUUUAAACAUCAGUGAGAAUGGCUUGAUAUGCUCUCUUCUCAAUUUAUCGCCACUCCGCAAGUCGAUGGUAAAAAAUGCAAGCAACUUGCAGCCUCCCACCAUUUCACAGGGUUACACAGCACGAGACGGGGAAAGGCAUAACCACCACGGCUGGUCACUGGAUAUGGAUACAUGGAUGCAGAAACUGCAUUGGCUUACGAAGACACACCAGCCUCUCAGCUUGGCUAUGUUUAGAACACAGGCUAGAUGAAGAUAAGAUUAUGGAGUCAUCAAAUGGCAGCCUGUGAGAGGUGACAUAGGACCUUGCAGAUCCUCUUGCCAAACCUUCAGAUAUCGAUGAGCCUCAGAGAGACUUGCUCAUUUGCCGCCAAGCCAGAUCUGCUGACUCCAGGACCACAGCUGGAGUCAGGAGCUUUGACCUCUGUGAAGCCAUCCAGCCCACCCCAUAAGGAUUCUCCCUAUGGUGUUAUUGAACCCUUCAUUUUAACCUUCAUGAAGCUGGUGUUUUAGGUAUUUGGGAAGUCAGUUGGAGCAGCAGAAAUGGCAGAGUUUGCAGCUGAGAUGGCCUCUCAUGACUGAGUUUUUUCCCAAAAUGAUGUUGAAUUCCCUAGAUUUAUCCUAAUGGAGAUUCGUGCUCUCCUCAGGUAUUUCCAUAAAUGUUUCCUCCCUCACAGGUGCUUGAGAUAGAUCAAAGUGCAAAUGAGAACCAGAGUUCCUUCUGAACUGAGUCUCUGAUGAUAGGAUCUUGCUUGACAGUUUGGGGGUUCUGGUGAAAAUUAUAAUGAGAGGGUCAGGUAGCCCUUUGUAAAUUGCAUUUGAAUGGGCUGGGGGAAGUCACAAAUCCUCUUAAGCUCAUCAUUUGGUUUAUGAUCAGAAGACUCUUCUUUAGGACUUGUCUUUUAUCUGUGUUCCCAGUAAAAUCCUACUUUUCUUGCAGAUCCUAUCACUUCAUGGAUUGUCAUAAAAUUUGGUAUUCAUUAAUCAGUUUGUCACAGCAAAUAAUUCUUCCCAGCAAGACUGCAGGCUGAAGGUGUACUGUCUAGAAACAUCCAGUUUUGUUGAGUCAAAACCAUUUCAGGUCUUAGGGAUCAUACGCUCAAAUCUCAAAAGACCCUUUAAAGCAUCCUUACAGACACUGCAAAUCAGCUUACAUAGUUACAGCACUGGAGUGAUCUAUUUCGUUGUUAGAUCCUCCUAAUUCACUCUUUCUCAAAAAUGUGUUUCAAGAAGCACAAGAAUGAUGAGAUGUUUCAUUACAAAGUGGUUCUGUGGACCAAUCAGUUUAGAAAAUGUAGAUCCAUUAUUUGUUUACUGCCAUUUCUCCUUACCUUAAUUUUGUCUCUUUUGUUCAUGUCUUUGUCCCCAGGGCCUAUGACAAUGCCUGAUACUUUGUAGUCACUUAAGUACUUUGUAACCACAAUAAAUGUGUUUACUGAAUGAAAAAUUUCUUAUAUCUUCCUAUCUCAAUACACUUUAUUGAGAUAAAGGCACUGAUAAGUUCCACAGAAAUAAGACUUUUAAACUCUGCAUCUUCCAAACUUUUUUGACCACAAAUCCCCCUUUUCUUGAAUUGCCUCUAUAUGUUUCAUGGAAUGCUAUUUGGGAAACAGUGCUUUAAAGUUCUUCCCUGCUUUUAUUCAGAAUUUCCACACACUAGACCUGUUUCCGAUUUCUGAACAAGAUCUACAUCCAUCUCCCUUCAUGUGGCUGCUUUCCAGUGUCCUUAGCUUUCUUCACCAGGCACAUGAAAUGUAUUUCCCCAGUUGUUCCAUAGGUGAUAUAGUUUCUACAUAUUGCAUAAUUCUUCUUAGUUUGUCCUUGCCUUGUGGGCACUACUUCACAGAGUAUCAGACCCAGUGCACGUGGCAUCUGACCUUGUGGUGGAACAUGGACACCUAACAUAAUCUGACCUAUUAAGUAAUUACUCAUUUUAUGCAUUGAAACAUGUAGCAUCUAGGCAUGUAUCCUACUGCUACUAUAAAAAACAAAUAAGACAUCACCUCCUCCAGUAAGCCUACUCUGAGGCUGCAAUUGUCCUUAUCACCAUUACUAUGAUUCAUUGUAA
rnacentral:lncRNA from 1 species